GCCCUGGUAGCACAGUGGUUAAAUGCUUGUACUGCAGCCACUCACUCACAAACCACAAGGUUGCAAGUUCAAUACCAGCCAAGGGCU
rnacentral:tRNA from 1 species